rnacentral:rRNA from 1 species
CCUACGGGGGGCAGCAGUGGGGAAUCUUCCGCAAUGGACGAAAGUCUGACGGAGCAACGCCGCGUGUAUGAUGAAGGUCUUCGGAUUGUAAAGUACUGUCUUUGGGGAAGAAUGACUGAUUUGAAAAUAUUGAGUCAGUAUGACGGUACCCAAGGAGGAAGCCCCGGCUAACUACGUGCCAGCAGCCGCGGUAAUACGUAGGGGGCAAGCGUUGUCCGGAAUUAUUGGGCGUAAAGGGCGCGUAGGCGGAUAGUUAAGUCCGGUGUGAAAGAUCAGGGCUCAACCCUGAGAGUGCAUCGGAAACUGGUUAUCUUGAGGACAGGAGAGGAAAGUGGAAUUCCUAGUGUAGCGGUGAAAUGCGUAGAUAUUAGGAGGAACACCAGUGGCGAAGGCGACUUUCUGGACUGUAACUGACGCUGAGGCGCGAAAGCGUGGGGAGCAAACAGGAUUAGAUACCCUGGUAGUCCACGCUGUAAACGAUGAGUGCUAGGUGUAGAGGGUAUCGACCCCUUCUGUGCCGCAGUUAACACAAUAAGCACUCCGCCUGGGGAGUACNGCCNCNAGGUUGAAACUCAAAGGAAUUGACGGGGGCCCGCCCAAGCGGUGGANCAUGUGGUUUAAUUCGACNCCACNCGAANCNCCUUACCAGGGCUUGACAUCUACNAANUCUUUGGGAANCCANGGANUGCCCUNCCGGGNANCUNUAAAANNGGGGGGCNUGU